UGUUCAAACUGGUUACAUCUAGAUUUUGAUCAUGACAGUAUAAAUACAGGAACAGAAUUCAGGUAAAAAUAUUUGCUUGAUUUAUUGGUAUUGGACUUUUUGUUGCUAUUGGAAGUAUCGUGACCAGUCAUUCGUCUCAGUUAUUCAAAAAGAUUUGUAGACAUGAAGUGCUCCGUUUGGGUUUUGUUGGUAUUGACUAUCUUUGCUGCUUUGUGCCAGGACAGUGAUGCAGGAGUAGCAUUAAACAGAAAUACGAGAGCUUCAUGUUGGGGUGGUGAACUGGGAUGUGCCGCUAACUGUAUGAGACGUGGACGAUACAAUGGUGGUUGUUGUGGAGAAAGUUAUACAAGGUGUCACGGAACAUGCUACUGUAACGGGAGUGGUUAUGAACACCGUUGCUACGAUUGUGAUCUGAAAUGAACCAAUGAUUGCGGAAGACAAGAAAAGAUCCGGAAAUAUUCUUUCAACCUGUUAAAAAAUGUGUCUUCCUCUUUCCAUAUUUAAACGUUUAAUGUCUUAUCACCUUUAUUAUUUUACAAUACAAAUAAACAUUUGUUUUGAA